UUCUGAAUGUAUAACCACAAUCCUGAUCACAUUUGAUCUUGGAACCUAAGCAGGAUUGGGUCUGGUUGGUACUUGGAUGUGAAACCACCUCAGAAUACAAGGUGCUGUAGACC
rnacentral:rRNA from 1 species